rnacentral:lncRNA from 1 species
GCGACACCGUUCCUCUUCCCUCUCUCUCUUCUACACGGAGCCCAAGCCACGACGGUAGCGACAUCCCUCCCUCUCCUUCGACAUCAACACUGAGCCCCAGCGCCGCCUCUCCCUCCCUCCCCCUCCGAGACCUCCCUCUCCUCGCGAGGAUGCGCGGCGGCGGGCUCCCUCCCACGACACGUCUCCACCACACCACGGCGUGGCUCCACCACCACCAUGGCGCAUGGCCAGAUCUGAUGGCGACGCGGUCGGAUCCGGUGCGCACUCCUCUUCUUCUCCACCAUGGUGGCCGGAGAGAGUGCAUGCGGCGGCAGGUCGCUAGAUCUGCCGGUUGCGCGUGGUCUAGGCCCCCUCCUCUUCCUAGAUGGCGCUGGAGAUGUAGUUGGAGCUAGGGCGACGAAUCGAUGGCGGCGGCACGAGGCCUAGAUCUAGGCCCGUGUAAGCUUUUUUCUUUUUUGUUCUUUAUUUUAAUCGAUUAACGGAGGCGGGCAAAACAACCGCCUUUUUUAAUCCUCUAUUUACCUUGAUUUUUAAUUGGAGCCGUUUUGUGUGUCCGCCUCGGAAAAUCAAUUUUGCUCGCCUUGAUUAAGUUUAUUGUAGUAGUGAAUGUUAUUUGGUUGGAGGCCUCCAUGUAGCUCCUAGCCUUAAAAUUGGACGUCGGCCUGUUUUGGAUCCAUUCCUCCAAACUUUAGAGCUCUAAAAGCUUAGCAUUUUAGCUCACUUUUGAGCUAUGAAAGUUUUAAUGUGAGGUGGGCUAAAGUCUGGAGCUAACUUUAGACCGUUUAUUUGGAGCUUUAAAUAUGUAAAGUUUAGAUGAAAAAAAAAAUCUAAAUAGGCUCUUAUGCCUGGCCAGACAACUUUAUUUUGUCACUAAAAGGUAGUCUGAUAAUGAUUACUUUAGUUUAUCUAAUUUAUAUUUAUUCAUUUUUCCUUUGAGGUCCUAUGUAGUGUCUUAGAAAAUUGCUUACUAUCGAUCAAGAUCUUUUUUUACCAACCAACAUAAGAAGAAAUAUAGUCUAGUAAAAUGGGACAGGAGUACUAUCGAUGAAUAAUUUUUGGUUACUAUCCAUCAAGAUCUUUUUUUACCAACCAACAUAAGAAGAAAUAUAGACUAGUAAAAUGGGACAGGAGUACUAUCGAUGAAUAAUUUUUUUUUACAAUUUUCUCUCAUAACAUUGUACUCUUCAUAAUUUUUUUUGUUAUAAAUUUUGUUUGGCAACCUUUGUUCGUAUGAGUUAUCUCAAUAGUUGUUUUCUGACAUACUCCCUCCAUCCCAAAUUAUAAGUCAACCAGAUAUGCACCAUAUGUGAGUUUUAGAAGUCAAAUCUUACAUAUAGCUACAAAUAAGGGGUAAUAUCAAAAGACAAUGCAUAAAUAUAUAACGUACAUAAUAUAAAAGAGAUAACCUUUGAUAGCAAACAACGGAUAGACAACUCCAAACUUCGGGUAUUAACUUCACUCUACAGGAUCCAACUGACUGGUUGAUCACAAGCCUGACACUCCUUCUGAAGUAUGGGAGAAAUAGCAAGAGUGAGUCCAUGUCGAACUCCACAAGUAUAGUAACUAGAUUGUAUAGCUCCCACAAUCUCAUGAUCAAUGUGACAUAAAUAAUGUAGAGCAUUAAACAAUAAGCAAUGAGCAUAUUUAACACACAAGAAUCAUCACCCUUAAUGUAGAUGUCCCCAAGACCGCUCCUGACCGUGAGCUCGGCUAGUAUACUAGUUUUAACACUCUGCAGAGGUUGUACAUCUUUACCCAUGAGUCAUGAUUUACCCUUUCGCCCGAGGUGAUCAGCCUCUUAACCCACUUCCAAGGAAGGUCGGCAGGGAUCACUAUGAAGCCUUUCAAAAGUUCGUCUAACAUGUUAGGGCCGCAAGGUUUCCUUUGCGCGUAGAUAUAGAUACCCCCUUCCAAAUGGCACAAUGACGCGCAGCCUAUACACAUAAGGACAGGGGCUCGCACUAUACCCAAAACGGUUCAGCCCCUCCGCCCUUUCGGGUAACCUCUAACAAGCUAGAAAAGGUCUUCAUACUGAGCUAAAGCCAGAGCCAUUAUAGCUCUCAUGGUUGCACUGUUGUCCCGGGUGAUCACGUACAGACAAAUCAUCAAGUUGCUAAAAAGUCAUUUUUAUCGUUUAUUACUUAACAUUAAUCCAGUCACACGAUCAUGGUCACAAAAAUAAAAUCCAAAUGCUAUACUUGCCUUGAUCCAAUUGCUCCUGCUAAUCUUGCUAGCUCUGCUGGUCUUACUUGUUGCCAAGGCUCUGAUCUUGAUCACUGAAGCACUCUUGAUCACCACAAAUUGCUCACCGACUAAUUCCGAUCAUCGAUCACAAACAUACGGCAACAAACAUACACGAAGCAAACAAGGCUACAAUUAGAACAGUACACCAAUCAUAUAAAAACAGUAUAAAAAGUUUAUAAAAAGAUACUACGCAUCGCUACGAUCUCACAGACGUAAAGAUCACGAAAAUCAGAGUUAAAACGUAGAAGAUAUGAAUUUUCUAAGAUUUUAUAUAGAAAAGUAAUUAAUUAAAUAGGAUCACGAAAUUAAAAGAUUUCAAACUGAGGAAACAGUGUUAGUGACAUGUAGAGCUCGUGAAAACAAAGCUAACGGAAUUUGAAUGGGUCAAAUCGGAGUUAAAGCGAAUAUUUUAUAAGGUUGAAAUAGAAUUAUGUUAGUAACUUAUCAUAUUAAUAUUUAUACAUAAAAAACACCAAAAUUGAUUUUUACCUCCACGAUCGACAACAGGUUCUGCAACUUGGAUCUGUAUGCGCAGCAAGAUAAUUAUCACCACACGUAGGCCUUGUUUAGUUUGCAAAAUUUGUGGUUUUUAGCUACGGUAGGACUUUCGUUUUUAUUUAACAAAUAUUGUCCAAUCACGAAGUAACUAGGCUUAAAAGAUUUAUCUUACAAAUUACAGAUAAACUGUUUAAUUAGUUUUUAUUUUUAUCUAUAUUUAAUGCUCCAUGCACACGACCAAAGAUUCGAUGUGACGGAGAAUCUUGAAAAUUUUUAUGAACUAAACAAGGCCGUAUAUCUCUUCACGGAACAGCAGUAGCAGACCAGCAAGAAAAUUUUCUUGUGUUCACGAGAAGCACUGGCGGCAAUAGUCCUGUCUCCACUUUGAUCGACAUGAACUUCUCAUCUCUGGAACUCGCAACAGCGGCCACGGCAGCAGCGGCAACGGGUUAAAGCAGCAAUCUCUGCAAACGCUGAACAUCAGCAGCCUUUUGGAGACCAUGACAAACUCGACUUGACUUCACCGACUUGCACCAUCAAAAACGGAAAAGCCGUCCUUGAUUCUGCCUCGGUUGACAGGCAGCAGCAGCAGCGCAUGAACCAGAUCAGAACGGAUUAACGACGGUACAAAAUAUGUCUUUAUUCCCAGAUGGACUCGGGCGGCGGCAGCGGCUCAACGUGUCAUAUAUAUACAUAUAUACAUACAUGAGGUUUAGACGAGUUGGACUAGGAUUUAUUAUUUUCGGAAUUAAAUAAUUCUACGAAUUAAAUAAUUUCAGAAAAAUCUAGAAUUGUUUAUUUUAUUUUAUUUUAUUUUAUUUCAAAACUCUUUUAGAAACAAUUUUGAAAAUAGUGUAAGUCAUUUUAAAUUAUGAUCAAAACCACACAGUACAAUAAAUCAAAUGCAUUGGCAUAAAUGUACAAAAAUGUUGCUAAGCCUUAUGUUAAAUUUUAAUUUAAUAAAAAUAUUAUUUUUCCUAUAUUUUUCUGAGCAUAAAAAAUAUAAAAUUAAAUCAUUUCACCUAUUUCAAAAAUUAUAAAUUUUAGGGUGUUACAACAAUGUAGGUGACCGUUAGACUCUGACACGAGAAGUUCAAAAGGCGACACGUGGCUGUUGUUGGAGCACCGGACGCAGGGGCUGAGCGUCCGGUGACCCCGAGUUUUGUCCAGUGAGAGAGCCAACGGCUCUAUUUGUUUGAGGGGCUAUAUAUACGUGUUUGGCCGGCUUAGGGCUUAGACUCUUGGCAUUCUAGCAUACUUGACACCCUUGUGAGCCUAAGUAAACACCUCCCACUCAUUUCCUUCUUAGAUUAAACAUCUUUGUGAGAUUGGAAGUGAUUCCAAGUGCAUUUGCUUGAGUGAUUGCAUCUAGUGGCACUUGAGGAUCGAUUUGGCUGCGGUUUUCUUGUUACUCUUAGUGGUUGCCGCCACCUAGACGGCUUGGAGCAGCGGAGGAGCUUUGGCACGAGUUGGUGAUUGUUCGUGGCCAUCUCCCGGUGAUUGUGAGAGGUUUGUGCCUACCUCGGCGCAGAGCCAAAGGCAACAUUAGUGGAUUGCUCGUGUCAUUGAGCUACCUCAUUUGUGGGUAGGUUCUUGUGGUGUCCUAGUGAGGACGAGGUUCGUGCUACACCUCUUAGCCACCGAACCACCAAGUGUUGGUCGACACAACAGAGACCUAGUGUGCCGGCAAGCACGUGAAACUCGGGAGAAAAAUUGGUGUCUCAAUUGUGUUUGAUUGACAUUCUCCCGAUGCUUGAUUGUUUAUAUUGGUGAUUCGUUCAUCCCCUACUCGAGGGUAUAAAUAUCUCAUCCUCUCUUUUACAUUCUCGCAAAUUAGAGUAGCUUACUUACUUGUAUAGAAACUUUAGGUAGCUUUCUAGUGUAAGUAGUGACAUAGCUCUUGUGUAGCGAUUAUAUCAACUAGAAUUGUUGGAUAGGUGGCUUGCAAACACCCCUUUAGAGCUAGAGCAAAAAGCUUCGCUUUGUUAUUUACUAACCUCUUACUCUAGUGAGUUUGUAGAUUUUUAAAUAGGCUAUUCACCCCCCUCUAGCCAUAUUAGGACCUUUCAGUCGGCCCCACCACCAUAGCCGCAGCAGCGCUCCUGUGCCCGGACCCCCCUCAUCGACUGCGCCCGCUCGCACGCGCACCGCGAAUGCGGGCCCCACCUCCCGUCUUUCUCUCGCUCCUCUUUUGCUAUACAAAAAGAUAGCAAGUUGCAACACAUAACUAGACACCAUCCAUAUUUUUCGCGCAAAAAUAACAGUAAGUACGAGCAAGCUUACAUGCAAGAAAGUAUAGCAGUGUACCCACACACACGUGGUAUAUAUCUCAUGCAUGCAUGCAGGACAAGCAUGCACUGACUAUUUGCAUGCACCUGCAUGCAAAGGAUACGGUGAUUAGGCACCGUCUAUUUGCAUGCAUCGUACAUGCAAAUUAGGCACCGUUCUUUUCCCAUCAACCAUGCACUACAAUAACAUUUUAAUGGCAAGAGCUGAGCACUCUGGCCUAUAAAAAGGCACUCUCGGGUGCUCUCUCUCAAGCAUGCCCACUCACUCUCUCUCACUUCGCGUAUACCGUAUACGGCCAUACGCACAAGCCGAGCUCGACUGUCGUCGCAAGACGAGGUGAGCAGCUUAUGAGCAUCCCCUUGCUCUUCUUUAUCUUCCUGUAGUAUUUUUUUGUACCCCUCCUUGUAUUUGUCUGUACCGAUUCACUGUCGUGAACUCCAUGAACUGAACCAUGACAAACAGAAUAGCUCUAAUAAUCCUUGCUAAUUUCUCUCUUGCCAUGCAUGUGUGAGCCAUAAGCAUUAAUUUCAUCAAAUAGUACAUGCAUGCACCAUGCACUACCUGUCAACCUCUCACGAGAGCAUCCAUUCCUUAAUCAUGCGUUAAUCUUUAUCACGUGAUUAAAUUUCGGUCAUUUCACAAAUGCCACAUACUAACUCUAAUUUUAUUAUUUCUUUUUCCUAAAUUCAUCUAAAAUCAUAAUCUACCUCCCAUAUUAAUUUCAUGAUUUUUUAGAGCUCAUUUGAAUUUAUGUGAUUAUUUAUCUGUGCUUGUGCCUCUAUCGGUCGUCACGUAUUUUAGCUGACGGAGUGAACGACCCGAAAAAUGACGAUGUUGGAGACAAGUACCACGAGUUCGACGGCGAGGACCCGGACUGUCAGCAGGAGUUUGCCAAGGACGUCGACGGAGGCAAGUCCAACCGAUUUCCUUUGAUGCAUAUUGAUCCUAUUUUUAAACACAACCCGUAGAAGCUGUUUUAAAUAUUGCAUGUAUGAUAUAUGUACGAAGUAUUUUUGCUGCUUAGUUAAAACCUGUUGAAUAGCCAUCCUUGAAUUGAUAUUACUCGGUAAUUGUCUUGUUUGAACCUACGAAUAAAGAAUAUGCUAUGACAGAAAUAUUAUUAUUUAGUAUGCUUAGGAUUUGUUACUCAUCCUGGAUACUCAUCGCUACAUUUUCUCAAAUAUAAUGAUUUUAAAAGCAAAACUGUGUGAGUAGUGAAAAUGAACUGUGGGUAUUGUGAAAGGGUUAAUGAACAAGUUAUAGAUGUGAUUACUAUAGAGAUGGGGCGGAUGAGAUCUCUUUUGGGGAUGCCCUGGUGUUGUGGCUUAUACUUUGCGGGGUUAAGCAUGAAGAUAUCCGCUUUGUCUUGAUUAAGGACUGAGUUGAUGAUUCAUCUUGUCUAACUCAUUUAUCGUACAACCACUCACCUUGCAUGAAAAAGGCUUAGUCUAAAUCCCUCUAGUUAGUAUGGCAAUCACUUGGAGGCAGGUGUGCAACGGGACACUGAGAGAUGUAUAUGAAAUAGUGGAAAUAUAUAAAAUAUAAAGAGCUCUGUGAAUUAUUAUGGUGUCAUGAGAUGUGGCCUUAGUGUUCCCGUGGUGAGCGCCAUUACUUAGCUAUGGAGGGCAAUUACUUUGAUGGAUCUGUGCUUGCACGACGGUGUAAGUUAUAGUAUCUACUUGUGGUGAAAAUGUACAACCUCUGUAGAGUGUAAAUCUAUCUAGAUAGCCGUGUCCGCGGUCUCAGACGGGUUAUGGUUUGGUUUCAACAACUAGAUGGGUUGGGAUGAGUGAAAACAUGAGAGUGAGUAUGAUUUUGGAAAUAAAUGGUUGACUGCCAUUAUGUUGCGGGAACAAGGGUUCAGUAACACUUAAAAUUGUGAUCAAACCUUAUUUUCGGAAACACUAAUAUAUGUGGAAAAAUAGUUCUUUUACAAAAGUAUUUGUGAAAUAAAACCUUGCAUGUGUAAAAAGAUAGCUUUAUGCAAAUAAAACUAAGCCUUAUCUUUGAUUUAUCCAUAUGUAUAUAUAUUGUUAUCCCCUUCCGUAGGGUAAGGUUGAAUUUGCUGAGUACUUUAUACUCAUCCUUGCUUUAUUAAACAGAGGAAGACCCGGACUUCGAUCCCGAAGUGGCGUUCGAGUAAGGUCGUGUCUGCACCCAACUAAGCCUGUGGCAUUGGGACUCGUCAGAUGUUCGGUUGUGAUAUCAUUUGUUUCUGGGUCCUUUGGACCUAUGUUGUAUUUUGGUGUCUUAUUAUUAUAGCAUGCCUUCAUUGUCC